GGGCCCGCACAAGCAGUGGAUUAUGUGGUUAAUUCGAAGCAACGCGAAGAACCUUACCAGGUCUUGACAUCUAACGAAUCCUGUAGAGAUACGGGAGUGCCCUUCGGGGAGCGUUAAGACAGGUGGUGCAUGGUUGUCGUCAGCUCGUGUCGUGAGAUGUUGGGUUAAGUCCCGCAACGAGCGCAACCCCUGCCAUUAGUUGCUACGCAAGAGCACUCUAAUGGGACCGCUACCGACAAGGUGGAGGAAGGUGGGGACGGACGUCAAAUCAUCAUGCCCCUUACUGACCUGGGCUACACACGUAAUACAAUGGGUGUCAACAAUGGGAAGCAAUGCCGCGAGGCGGAGCAAAUCCCCAAAAGCACUCUCAGUUCGGAUCGCAGGCUGCAACCCGCCUGCGUGAAGUUGGAAUUGCUAGUAAUCGCGGAUCAGCAUGCCG
rnacentral:rRNA from 1 species